rnacentral:rRNA from 1 species
GACGUAGGGCGCGAGCGUUGUCCGGAUUUAUUGGGCGUAAAGAGCUCGUAGGCGGCUUGUCGCGUCGACUGUGAAAUCCCGCGACUCAACUGCGGGUCUGCAGUCGAUACGGGCAGGCUAGAGUUCGGUAGGGGAGACUGGAAUUCCUGGUGUAGCGGUGAAAUGCGCAGAUAUCAGGAGGAACACCGAUGGCGAAGGCAGGUCUCUGGGCCGAUACUGACGCUGAGGAGCGAAAGCGUGGGGAGCGAACAGG